rfam:Strongylocentrotus purpuratus Contig117539_fixed, whole genome shotgun sequence.
GGAGUGUUGGCUCAGUCAGUAGAGCGUCCGCCUCACAACCGGGAGGUCGUGGGUUCGAAUCCCGACCGCGUCA